CGGACGGGUGAGUAACGCGUGGAUAACCUACCUAUAAGACUGGGAUAACUUCGGGAAACCGGAGCUAAUACCGGAUAAUAUAUUGAACCGCAUGGUUCAAUAGUGAAAGACGGUUUUGCUGUCACUUAUAGAUGGAUCCGCGCCGCAUUAGCUAGUUGGUAAGGUAACGGCUUACCAAGGCAACGAUGCGUAGCCGACCUGAGAGGGUGAUCGGCCACACUGGAACUGAGACACGGUCCAG
rnacentral:rRNA from 1 species